UUGGCUCUACAUCCACAAAUUAUAUAUAGACAUGACAGUGGGAUCGAUCUUCUCAACUUACUGUUAGCAAUAAAGCAAAUAAGAAGGAAAACUAUUCCUUUAAAGUGUAAAAUCAUCAGGUUUUCGCUACAUUAGAAGCAAAGAACCAAGGAGCUAAUAGGGCUGUAACAUUGUUAAUGAUAAUAAUACAGCCAGGAUUAAUGACUAGCUGCUUUGACAACCAGCUGGGAGUUAAAAAUGAAAAAUACUGAGUAAAACCAGGGAAAUGUGCAGUGGACUCUCUAUUAGCUGCCUUGCUGAAGCCAUUUU